rnacentral:rRNA from 1 species
ACUCCUACGGGAGGCAGCAGUGGGGAAUUUUGGACAAUGGGCGAAAGCCUGAUCCAGCAAUGCCGCGUGCAGGAUGAAGGCCUUCGGGUUGUAAACUGCUUCUGUACGGAACGAAAAGCCUGGGGCUAAUAUCCCCGGGUCAUGACGGUACCGUAAGAAUAAGCACCGGCUAACUACGUGCCAGCAGCCGCGGUAAUACG